rnacentral:tRNA from 1 species
UCGUCGCCGAGGUCCUGCCGGGGCGCCGGGUCGCUGCGGCGGCCGGGGCGCUGGCGGUCGCCUUCCAGCCGAUGUUCGGGUUCAUCAGCGGCGGC